GGAUUUCUCUUAAUUUACCUGGAAAUUUUGCUAAUACAAGUCAAGGAGGAAACAAGGAGGCAGGUUGGAUUAUAUUUGAGGACAGGACGCAUGAAGGAGAAGCAUGAGGAGAAAACAGCAGAGCGACGGUGCAGAGCUAAUCAUGGAUCAAGUCGAAGAAGCAAGCAUCAAAACUUGGUGUCCUUUCAGCUGUUUAAAGGUCGUAUUAAAAGGAAGCAAGCUGAGCACUGGAAGGAGAGAGGCCCUAGAUUGGAAGAGGAACGCAUGAAGGCCAGGUGGAAAAGAGGGAGCCGCUGUGUGAUCGUGGGGGUGCGACGCCUCAUCUGGAGACUCGUCAGCAGGAACGGCGACAGUAGGAUACGACGCGUGUGAUUGACAUCAGGGCAGAUGUAUUCCACUGCCUGCAUUUGUGAUGGCGUGAGGGGAGCCGCGGUGGUAUCGAGCGACGGACUCCAAUGCAGAAUGCAAACUGGGCUGGGAUGUGAUGGGCCCAGUGGACGGACGAGACUGGGACAGGAGGUUCCUCGUCUGCCUGGCACGAGGCUGGCGUGGAGCCCGCUCAGCAAGAGGAAUUUCUGUCCAGCUCAAGAACACACAAGGAAUAUUCAUCCUGGGUUGUGGGACUGGGUGGGAUUUCUGUGCAUGAAGAGAAUUGUAUUUUUACCAGUUUUAGAAUAAUCUUAUCUAGUCUCGGAGGGAAUUUUAGCAUAUUGAGAAAAAUGUUGUUGUGAAUUGGCUUGAUUUAAAUCAAAUUGAACUGCAUUCAAUUAAAGCCAAAUAUAACUUGUAAUCAAAUCUAUUCAAAUGUAAAGUCAUCUCACUCAAUUUGGACAACUAGCACUAAAAAUACACUGACAUCCUCUGUUUCCCAAUUAGCAGAUCAGAGGUUGCUGUUUUAUUUGUCACUCAAUACUUGAAUAGUUUUAUCCUGUUUAUAAAUAAACAUUUAAAAAU
ensembl:lncRNA